UACGUAGGUGGCAAGCGUUGUCCGGAAUUAUUGGGCGUAAAGCGCGCGCAGGCGGUCCCUUAAGUCUGAUGUGAAAGCCCCCGGCUCAACCGGGGAGGGCCAUUGGAAUCUGGGAGGCUUGAGUAUAGGAGAGAAGAGUGGAAUUCCACGUGUAGCGGUGAAAUGCGUAGUGAUGCGGAGGAACACCAGUGGCGAAGGCGACUUUCUGGUCUGUAACUGACACUGAGGCGCGAAAGCGUGGGGAGCGAACAGG
rnacentral:misc_RNA from 1 species